rnacentral:rRNA from 1 species
UGCCAGACUCCUACGGGAGGCAGCAGUGGGGAAUAUUGCACAAUGGGGGAAACCCUGAUGCAGCGACGCCGCGUGAGUGAAGAAGUAUUUCGGUAUGUAAAGCUCUAUCAGCAGGGAAGAAAAUGACGGUACCUGACUAAGAAGCCCCGGCUAACUACGUGCCAGCAGCCGCGGUAAUACGUAGGGGGCAAGCGUUAUCCGGAUUUACUGGGUGUAAAGGGAGCGUAGACGGUGAUGCAAGUCAGAAGUGAAGGCCCGGGGCUCAACUCCGGGACUGCUUUUGAAACUGUGUGACUGGAGUGCAGGAGAGGUAAGCGGAAUUCCUGGUGUAGCGGUGAAAUGCGUAGAUAUCAGGAGGAACACCAGUGGCGAAGGCGGCUUACUGGACUGUAACUGACGUUGAGGCUCGAAAGCGUGGGGAGCAAACAGGAUUAGAUACCCUCGUAAC